CCCAUUUCUAAUAAUCACUUAUCCCUCUCUUCUGCUAUGGCCAAUGGCCUUAUCAGGCAAUACAACAAAAAAAAACUCACUGCACGGUACUGAAGCUUUCCUCUCCCGUGCUUCUCCCCAGCUGGCUCACAGUAUUCAAAACUUCAAAACAACAGCAGAGGUUGCUACAGCAUAGAGGCUGCUGCAUACUCCAAAAUUUAAAUUCAAAUAUGUUCCUUCACUCUCAUUUCCUUUCAAUUUCCUUUCCAUUCAAACAUAAAGUCUGUUGCGUCGCUCACGUGUAUUACACUCCACCUCAAAUCACUGUUAUCUUCUUCUAAUUUCAAAAUCCAGUUUCAAACCCUAGCAUAUACUCUCUUCCCGUAACGAAUUCUUUCUCUGCUUUAAGCCUUUAUGCCCCUUUCUUAGGGUUUCAAGCACAUCACCGCUGGGAAAUCAAUUCUCUGGUGUAUAUUGGUAUGAUUUUAAGAAAGUGAAGAUGUCACCUUCAGAUAUACAUUUGUUAUGGAUAUUAUUCUUGGGUAAAUUUUCGGUUAUGGAGUAUAUUUUGUAGCAUGCUUUCUAAGUGUUUGAUAAAAUUCCUGACACAAAUUUCUCUUCUUCUUUUUUGCAGAAUCAAUAAUUACUAUAUAACAUAAUGGUGUGAUAUUUUGUUUUAUGAAUUGCAGACGCGAAGAUGAAUGACAGCAAGAAUGAAAGACUGCUACUGUCAAGAUGGUUCACAGCAGUACUACAUAAGGCAGACGGUUGCAAGGUCAUGACAGCAAGUUUGUAUUUGACAGCUACAUUGGUUAAACUCCGCAGACAGCAAGUUUCAGCUAGCAUGACAGCAGAACAUUGGUGUCCCUACCAUUGGUGUAUAUUGGUAUGAUUUUAAGAAAGUGAAGAUGUCACCUUCAGAUAUACAUUUGUUAUGGAUAUUAUUCUUGGGUAAAUUUUCGGUUAUGGAGUAUAUUUUGUAGCAUGCUUUCUAAGUGUUUGAUAAAAUUCCUGACACAAAUUUCUCUUCUUCUUUUUUGCAGAAUCAAUAAUUACUAUAUAACAUAAUGGUGUGAUAUUUUGUUUUAUGAAUUGCAGGUACUUUCUCUGAUAGUUCUUGGUACUUUCUCUCUUUGAUUUAAUUUAAAAACGAUUCAUGUGUAUGCAUAUAUGUCAUUAUAUGAAAGACUUUUUAGGUUCACAUAUAUAAAUCGAGGCAAGAUGAAGAAAGGUGACAGGGUUUAGCAAAUUGAGUUUAGAGGACGCGGGGUUUAAGUGUACCAUUACGGUUUACAUUUGGGAGUAUCACAUGUAAAUAAGUUACAUGAAAGUCGAUGAAAGUAAAAUACAUGCGGCCGUUUGGGUUAGCUUAAAAUUUGACUCUUUGCUUAUCGUAAUGCGUAGAAGUGAGAAGUAAAUUAAUAAAGUGUUUGAAAAAGAAGCAGAAGCUGUGAGAGAUCUCAGCUUAUUAAAAGUGUUUCUAUUUCUUUACACAAACAGAUCAAGAAAAACAUAAGUUAGAAGCAGUUUAUGCUUCUUGCAAACAAACACCACCAUGAAAAAGAAAUAAGAAAUACCAUAUCACAUACAAAUUGCAGAGUUGGGCUUGGCCCGGGAAGUAAGGAACACACCGGUGGGGCUUGCGUCAGACUUGCUCUGGCCUCUGAGGGAUAACAUCCAUCUUACCUCACUAGUCAUCUCAACCAUCUUGCCUAACAAGUCAUCUCAAUCACGAUGCUAACAAACUUGACAUGAAGAUCUUACGAGAACUAGUAUUUCUUCCCGUCUCUUAAUAUUUUUCUUCCAUCUUGUGAUCUUCUAGUACUCCCUUUCUUAAUACUUUGACUCUUUGCUUUUAUUACACAUAUUUUUUAUUGUUAAUUUUUUUUAAUUGUCUAUUAAUAUUAUAUUUAAAAAUUUCACCGUAUUAAAAUACUCAUGAAUAUAAAUCCAACAAGAUCACUUACAACUAUAUUUGAUCUUGUAUAUUAAACAUAAAUUAGUAAUUUGUUUCAUGUUAUGAAUAGUGUCAACAUAUCAAACGAGGAAAGGAAAAAAGAGACGGGGAGUAUGUAAUAGUAGUAUAUAAUUAUUUAAUUACAUGACUAACAGAUUAUGCAAAAACUGAA